rnacentral:rRNA from 1 species
GACGAACGCUGGCGGCGUGCUUAACACAUGCAAGUCGAGCGGUAAGGCCCUUUCGGGGGUACACGAGCGGCGAACGGGUGAGUAACACGUGGGUGACCUGCCCUCAGCUCUGGGAUAAGCCUGGGAAGCUGGGUCUAAUACUGGAUAUGACUCCACGGUGCAUGUCGUGGGGUGGAAAGCCUUGUGCGGCUGAGGAUGGGCCCGCGGCCUAUCAGCUUGUUGGUGGGGUGAUGGCCUACCAAGGCGACGACGGGUAGCCGGCCUGAGAGGGCGACCGGCCACACUGGGACUGAGACACGGCCCAGACUCCUACGGGAGGCAGCAGUGGGGAAUCUUGCGCAAUGGGCGAAAGCCUGACGCAGCGACGCCGCGUGAGGGAUGACGGCCUGGU